rnacentral:rRNA from 1 species
UACGAAGGGGGCUAGCGUUGCUCGGAAUCACUGGGCGUAAAGGGUGCGUAGGCGGGUCUUUAAGUCAGGGGUGAAAUCCUGGAGCUCAACUCCAGAACUGCCUUUGAUACUGAAGAUCUUGAGUUCGGGAGAGGUGAGUGGAACUGCGAGUGUAGAGGUGAAAUUCGUAGAUAUUCGCAAGAACACCAGUGGCGAAGGCGGCUCACUGGCCCGAUACUGACGCUGAGAUACGAAAGCGUGGGGAGCAACAGG